AUUGAACGCUGGCGGCAGGCCUAACACAUGCAAGUCGAGCGGUAGAGAGGUGCUUGCACCUCUUGAGAGCGGCGGACGGGUGAGUAAUGCCUAGGAAUCUGCCUGGUAGUGGGGGAUAACGUUCGGAAACGGACGCUAAUACCGCAUACGUCCUACGGGAGAAAGCAGGGGACCUUCGGGCCUUGCGCUAUCAGAUGAGCCUAGGUCGGAUUAGCUAGUUGGUGAGGUAAUGGCUCACCAAGGCGACGAUCCGUAACUGGUCUGAGAGGAUGAUCAGUCACACUGGAACUGAGACACGGUCCAGACUCCUACGGGAGGCAGCAGUGGGGAAUAUUGGACAAUGGGCGAAAGCCUGAUCCAGCCAUGCCGCGUGUGUGAAGAAGGUCUUCGGAUUGUAAAGCACUUUAAGUUGGGAGGAAGGAUACUUACCUAAUACGUGAGUAUUUUGACGUUACCGACAGAAUAAGCACCGGCUAACUCUGUGCCAGCCGCCGCGGUAAGAC
rnacentral:rRNA from 1 species